rnacentral:rRNA from 1 species
AUUGAACGCUGGCGGCAUGCCUUACACAUGCAAGUCGAACGGCAGCACGGGAGCUUGCUCCUGGUGGCGAGUGGCGAACGGGUGAGUAAUACAUCGGAACGGACCCUGAAGUGGGGGAUAACGUAGCGAAAGUUACGCUAAUACCGCAUAUUCUGUGAGCAGGAAAGAGGGGGAUCGCAAGACCUCUUGCUUUAGGAGCGGCCGAUGUCGGAUUAGCUAGUUGGUGAGGUAAAGGCUCACCAAGGCGACGAUCCGUAGCGGGUCUGAGAGGAUGAUCCGCCACACUGGGACUGAGACACGGCCCAGACUCCUACGGGAGGCAGCAGUGGGGAAUUUUGGACAAUGGGCGCAAGCCUGAUCCAGCCAUGCCGCGUGAGUGAAGAAGGCC